UAAAUUAUUCUCAGAUAUCCAGAUUUCAGUCUGAGCCGUUUUAGGGUCUCUGUCGCUUUAAAUCUAGACAAGCUGCUGCUGGCCACGCCCCCAACACAAAGUUUACACUCACAUGAAAAUGGCGGCAAACAGGUG